rnacentral:misc_RNA from 1 species
GAUCGCGGGAUACCAGGAUCUAUAUUAACUCUCCUUUCUCUCGGAACGGUUACAACAGGAUGAAACGAACGCUCCUGGAACGCUAAUCGUUCUGACCUGUCGCUUCGGGUUAUCCGAACGUUCUCAGGAAGUUGUCCAGUACGAGUGAUUAAAAAUCGAACACUUCACGUGUUACGAUGAAAUAAGAUGCUGAAACAUUGCCAUGCGAUAUGAUUACGUUUUGGCACUAAUUUACACGCAUUAUCCUAUCUCGAGUGAUUCGAAAAUAACAACGGUGAAGUCUGGACGAGGGUAACGUACUCCGCGAUUACAAGACAAGUGCCUGUCCUUCGACCAUCUAGCUCUAACACCGUCUGUGAAAUCGGAAUCAAGACUCCUGACGUUUGUAAAAAAAGAUAAAACAGCAACUAGAUAAUCGCAGAUACACGACUCGUAAAUGAAAUGUAAUAGAAUUAAAAGCUUCUCGCAAAGCGUAAAGUGUAAUAGAAUUUACAGCCCUUGUUGAGAAUUGUGUCGAUAUGGCAUGAUUUUCCUACUGGUCUGACGAUUAAAUUCUCUAAUUCCAUUCAAGUCGUCAAUUCACUUUCCACAAAUCUUAUCCACUCACCCUUCGUUGUAGUUUAAAUUCGUCAAAAAUCCGC